UCACUCUCAAGCUUCACGUAAGCUUUCUUUCUCCCUCCCUUGUUCUUAAUUUUCUUUCUUGAUCUUAGUGUAGUUCUAAGCCUUGAGCAAGAUCAUCCUCAUUAUGCUUUGUGGUCGUAGUGUAUGCUGAUCUUCCACAUCUACAAGAGAAUGAUCAUUUGAUCAAGUAGACAUCCUUUAGAAGAUUGAGAAUUCAAAUCCAAGUCGCCAUUUAAUGAGAUCAAAAGGAGAAACUUCCAAAAAUAACGGGCUCCUCAGCAGAUAGAGUAAACUGUGGAGGAGGCACCUCACCCUCAAAUGCCUUCACGUUCUUAUGGUGCCCAUCUUGAGUGUAGGUCGACUCCAUUAUUAGACCCUUAUAUACAUACCGGUCUGAGGAGUAGUCAAUCUCCCAGGUGGGAUCAGCGACAGCGUCAGAGGGUACGAUGCUCAUCAACCCGCGAAGAUACCAAAUCGGGGUGGUUGUGUGGGGUAGAAGGUAAAGGGAAAGAGGGGUAGGCCCAAGGGAAGCAAAGAACAAAUCCAACCAGUAGUUCAACCUGCUUGGUUAAAUUAAAUUAAAAUA
rnacentral:lncRNA from 1 species